UACGUAGGGUGCGAGCGUUAAUCGGAAUUACUGGGCGUAAAGCGUGCGCAGGCGGUGAUGUAAGACAGAUGUGAAAUCCCCGGGCUCAACCUGGGAACUGCAUUUGUGACUGCAUCGCUGGAGUGCGGCAGAGGGGGAUGGAAUUCCGCGUGUAGCAGUGAAAUGCGUAGAUAUGCGGAGGAACACCGAUGGCGAAGGCAAUCCCCUGGGCCUGCACUGACGCUCAUGCACGAAAGCGUGGGGGAGCGAACAGG
rnacentral:rRNA from 1 species